rnacentral:lncRNA from 1 species
GUGACCCGUUCCAUCAAACCUUCGACGCCGCCCAGCUCACUUCCUCGAGCAGCGGGGCUGUUUUCCCUGAGGGAGCCAACCCAUUCCAAGAGCCAAAAAAAGGAACAAUAAAAGCAGCGCCAGGUGCAGGGUGUAAAGGCUCUAGGAGCCCUGGACGGGUGACAGCAAGCGGGCACGUGUGCCUCCCGUCCUUCCUGGAGGGAGGGAAGCCAAGGCGCAGGCCAGCGUGGUCCCUGCCUGUCCCCUGGGUGCGGGCAGGCACGCGGAAACCGGCCCUGGCCAGGCCAGCGGGCCAGGCCUCCCGUCUGCAGACAAAGGCCCUUUGUCUGGGAGGUGCUGGGGGACGCCACACUCUGCUGUUUCUAAAUUAACGUUUUCCCUUGAAUGCCAUCGAACUCCCGGAAAGCUGUUUCCACGGCCUGAUUCCUAAACCGCCUGUAGAACAAGGGAAAACGGUCAGCAGCGUGAAUGUGGGUCCUCAGGGAAGGGCGAAGUGCAGACGGCGCCCUGGAUGCCGAGGGCUGUUUAUCAACAGGGGAGGCCCAGUGUGGUGACAGAGGGAGGCGUGCCUUCAGCACAUCCAGAAGAAAUAAACACAGAAGCUGCACACAGAAGCCAACGGUGGUCGGAGCUGACGGCGGUGAGACUGUUCGCUGCGAAACUGAAAUGUCAGUUUCUUCAGUGUUGGUUUGAUGAAAGGAGCUUCAACCACGGUGACUGGACAACUGGGCAGAAGUGAACCGUCUAAAUACAUGAUUAAUUGAUUUUAAUUAAAAGGAAAAUUAGAUGCAGAAUAACUUACGUGUGAAGCAGAGUGAAACUCACUUUGUUCAGUUUCUCUGAGCAACCCUGCCAUCUUUAUUACAUAGUCUCCGACAGUCCUCCACUUGACCCCCAGAAAUAGAUUCUCUCACCGCAGGCAGGAGUCUAGAGCCCCUCACCUCAGUGACCCCAUCCGUUUCUGUGUCUGAAGGUUCUGCAGGACUUGGGGGCUGACUCAAAAUGACCAGAGAUAUUUCUUGAUUGAUGACAGUUCAAAACAUGUGUCACCAUCGCCCAGGAAGGAGGAAGGGAGGGUGGGUAUCAGCAACCACUGGACCUCACUGAGAAGGGUGGGUUGGAUGCUGCCACUGUAGCAGUGCUGGCCCAUUGGGUGGGGAUAGGAUCCAGAGCAUCAGAUUACACUGGACAGCAGGUCUGGGAAACAAUAGCGCCUUUGAUAUCACUUACUAAGAAGUGUCCCCAGUAUGUCCUUCUUCUCAGAAAUGGAACCAUUUCCUCUGCAACG